rnacentral:rRNA from 1 species
UACAGAGGUCUCAACCGUUGUUCGGAUUCAUUGGGCGUAAAGGGUGCGUAGGCGGUCGCGCAAGUCGGAUGUGAAAUCUCAGGGCUCAACCCUGAAACUGCAUUCGAUACUGCGUGGCUAGAGUGCUGGAGGGGAGACUGGAAUUUACGGUGUAGCAGUGAAAUGCGUAGAUAUCAUGAGGAAUACCAGAGGCGAAGGCGGCUACCUGGACAAUUGCUGACGCUCAGGCACGAAAGCGUGGGGAGCAAAAGGG